AAGGAUCAUUACUGAGUGAGGGUCCCUCGGGGCCCAACCUCCCACCCGUGUAUACCGUACCUUGUUGCUUCGGCGAGCCCGCCCCCCGUCCUUCGGGGGAGCACAGCGCUCGCCGGAGACACCAACGUGAACACUGUCUGAAGUUUUGUCGUCUGAGUCGAUUGUGUCGCAAUCAGUUAAAACUUUCAACAAAGGAUCUCUUGGUUCCGGCAUCGAUGAAGAACGCAGCGAAAUGCGAUAAUUAAUAUGAAUUGCAGAAUUCAGUGAAUCAUCGAGUCUUUGAACGCACAUUGCACCCCCUGGUAUUCCGGGGGGUAUGCCUGUCCGAGCGUCAUUGCUGCCCUCAAGCACGGCUUGUGUGUUGGGUCGUCGUCCCCCCCAGGGGGACGGGCCCGAAAGGCAGCGGCGGCACCGCGUCCGGUCCUCGAGCGUAUGGGGCUUUGUCACUCGCUCUUGUAGGCCCGGCCGGCUGCUGGCCGACGCUGAAAAGCAACCAACUAUUUCUCCAGGUUGACCUCGGAUCAGGUAGGGAUACCCGCUGAACUUAA
rnacentral:rRNA from 1 species